rnacentral:rRNA from 1 species
AGUGAACGCUGGCGGUAGGCCUAACACAUGCAAGUCGAACGGCAGCACAGUAAGAGCUUGCUCUUACGGGUGGCGAGUGGCGGACGGGUGAGGAAUACAUCGGAAUCUACUUUUUCGUGGGGGAUAACGUAGGGAAACUUACGCUAAUACCGCAUACGACCUACGGGUGAAAGCAGGGGAUCUUCGGACCUUGCGCGAUUGAAUGAGCCGAUGUCGGAUUAGCUAGUUGGCGGGGUAAAGGCCCACCAAGGCGACGAUCCGUAGCUGGUCUGAGAGGAUGAUCAGCCACACUGGAGCUGAGACACGGUCCAGACUCCUACGGGAGGCAGCAGUGGGGAAUAUUGGACAAUGGGCGCAAGCCUGAUCCAGUCAUACCGCGUGGGUGAAGAAGGCCUUCGGGUUGUAAAGCCCUUUUGUUGGGAAAGAAAAGCAGCAGGUUAAUACCCCGCUGUUCUGACGGUACCCAAAGAAUAAGCACCGGCUAACUUCGUG